CUUUCAAUCAGGGUGCGGCGCGGCCCCCGAGGAGCGGAAACAAUCCCUGGGAGGUAUGCGGGGGCUUCGAGCCCCCCAUUUACGCACGCACGACUGCCAUCCUUACUUUACGAGCACCUUCUGUUCUCCCUCGGCGGGGCAACCUGCCGUUGGAACCGAAUAAACUCUUUUUGCAUCUAGCAUUACCUGUUCCGAAACAAACAAUCGUUACAACUUUCAACAAUGGAUCUCUUGGCUCUGGCAUCGAUGAAGAACGCAGCGAAAUGCGAUAAGUAGUGUGAAUUGCAGAAUUCAGUGAAUCAUCGAAUCUUUGAACGCACAUUGCGCCCCUCGGUAUUCCGUGGGGCAUGCCUGUUCGAGCGUCAUCUACACCCUCAAGCUCUGCUUGGUGUUGGGCGUCUGUCCCGCCUCCGCGCGUGGACUCGCCCCAAAUUCAUUGGCAGCGGUCCUUGCCUCCUCUCGCGCAGCACAUUGCGCUUCUCGAGGGGCUACGGCUCGCGUCCAACAAGCACAUUUACCGUCUUUGACCUCGGAUCAGGUAGGGAUACCCGCUGAACUUAAGCAUAUCAAUAA
rnacentral:misc_RNA from 1 species